AUUGAACGCUGGCGGCAUGCCUUACACAUGCAAGUCGAACGGCAGCACGGGAGCAAUCCUGGUGGCGAGUGGCGAACGGGUGAGUAAUAUAUCGGAACGUGCCCAGUCGUGGGGAUAACGUAGCGAAAGCUACGCUAAUACCGCAUACGAUCUAUGGAUGAAAGCGGGGGGAUCGCAAGACCUCGCGCGAUUGGAGCGGCCGAUAUCAGAUUAGGUAGUUGGUGAGGUAAAGGCUCACCAAGCCGACGAUCUGUAGCUGGUCUGAGAGGACGACCAGCCACACUGGGACUGAGACACGGCCCAGACUCCUACGGGAGGCAGCAGUGGGGAAUUUUUGGGACCAAUGGGCGCAAGCCUGAUCCAGCAAUGCCG
rnacentral:rRNA from 1 species